AACUCGAGAAGCAGGCAGGGAUACAGAACGUUACUCCCAUUUUACCGGAGGAAGAUGGAUGCAGGAUGCUUGUCAGUGACGUAAGGGAAACGUCACAGAUGUGUUCUUCUCUUCCUACUCCCUUAAGGAAAUGGACCGUGAGAAUUCGGAUACUUCCAGGUUAGCCUUGGCUGCAAGAAAGAUUUGCAUGAGAUUUGGAAGGCAGAAGUGAAGCACCA